UAUUGAAUUUGUCCAUGAAACCCAGUUUACAACGUCCGGCGUUGAUAAGUGGUGAAAUAAACUCUGGAUUUCCUUAAAAGUUAUUAUUAGGUUUAGAGUAGGAAAAUCCUGUUAAAAAUCGGAUGAAGUAGUCGCAGUCAAAGUCAGUUUAGGCCGUUAACGAAGCUGAAUAUAAUAACAGAUUAAUUAAACAUCAUUGCGUAUCAAGUGAAAUUAAAAACUCUUCUCUCAUUUUUCUACGGCAACAAUUACUGGUCAAAAUGAGAUUUUUAAAAUGUGAUAUCGGUGCGUUUAUUGACUUUUGCCCACAAAAAAGAGAAAAAAAUUCAAACCUUUGUUCUAGGUUAUUUCCUUGAGAAUCUACACCGAUACACCGAGAGAAUUUUUUUCAUACGUUUCCAUUCUGAGCUGUUUUCAACCACUAAACACCGACCGCGCCAUGAAGUGUGGCCUUUUUCGGACAUGAGCGAUCACCUUAGGUUUCAGCUCCUGUUUAAAGCGACGCCCUGGGGCCUCCAGCGACGGGAUGGACGGUGGUUUGGAGAGGAGCUCGUAAACUGCGAUCUCGAGCGUUCGUCUUCAAAUAAAGGCGGCGCGGAUCGGCGAUAAAAGGGACUUUUGGUGUCACGGCCCCUCGCCUUCCCAACGGCAACGGCCAACGUGCGCCAGGUUCAAGAUCACCGGUCUUCCCGCGGUUCGCGUAUCGCGCACAUCGCUCGACACCCAUCUUGCGGACACCGAGCCCGGCACACAGUGUGUCGGGCGUCUGCGAGUAUGCGAGUCAUUUCAGCCAAAUCUUAGGAAAGACAAAAGUUACAAUGCCAUUGUAAAGAGGGUAUAGAUAUUGGGCCUCGUGGCGACCCUUGGGAAAAAUGAAGAUCAUAACGUCGCUGUUUUAACGUAAGGGUGUAACUCAGUUUCCACGUGAGCCCCGUUAUCCAUAGAGCUCUGUGUUUUUCAGGGCUCACGUAGUAUUAGAGAUACACCUUUACGUCAGAGCAGCGAUGAUAAGUAUUACUGGGAAACGUAUGAUCUCAGGUAUCACUGAUAUCAGGUAAAAAGCGGAAGUGCCUUCAAUUUUGAGCAUACCACCCGCAUAUCCGUGGAACACGAAUAGUUGUAUCAAAGCGCUGCAGUCAACUCAGUCUAGUCUUUGUAAAGCAGAAACGCCUUCAAUUUUUGAAUGUGCAACACGCACAUCCAAGAUACUAAUAAUAUAUGCAAAAUGUGAAAAGCUCAUCAGUUCAUAUUAAAAACUUUUGAGAAAAGUAAAA